CAGCCGCCGCGGGAAAACGUAGGGUGCAAGCGUUAAUCGGAAUUACUGGGCGUAAAGCGUGCGCAGGCGGUCCGCUAAGACAGAUGUGAAAUCCCCGGGCUUAACCUGGGAACUGCAUUUGUGACUGGCGGGCUAGAGUAUGGCAGAGGGGGGUAGAAUUCCACGUGUAGCAGUGAAAUGCGUAGAGAUGUGGAGGAAUACCGAUGGCGAAGGCAGCCCCCUGGGCCAAUACUGACGCUCAUGCACGAAAGCGUGGGGAGCAAACAGGAUUAGAUAUCCCAGUAGUCCCUGUCUCUUAUAA
rnacentral:rRNA from 1 species